rnacentral:rRNA from 2 species
CAAAGGUAGCAUAAUCAUUAGUUUUUUAAUUGGGAACUGGUAUGAAGGGUUGGACAAAGGAAGGACUGUCUUUAAAAUAUAAUUUGAAAUUUACUUUUAAGUGAAAAGGCUUAAAUAUAUCUAGGGGACGAUAAGACCCUAUAAAGCUUUAUAUAUUAUUUAGAUUUGGUUGAUUUAUAAAAUAAAAAUUAGGUUUGAUUAUUUUAUUUUGUUGGGGCGACAUAAGUAUAAUUUAUAUUAACUGCUUAGAAAAUAUACAAUUAUAAGUGAUUUAAAUGUGCAUGAUCCUAUUUAAAGAUUAAAAGACUAAGUUACUUUAGGGAUAACAGCGUUAUUUCUUUUGAGAGUUCAUAUCGAAAAAGAAGUUUGCGACCUCGAUGUUGAAUUAAAAUAUCUAUAUAAUGCAGCUGUUAUAAGAGAAGGUCUGUUCGACCUUUAAAUUUUUACAUGAUUUGAGUUCA